AUCUCUCAAAAGACUCAGACCAAACGCUCUGCCUUCACUCAGAUAAGGAAGAAGAAGACGACUGAAACCAAACAAUGGCGAUUUCUACUUUAACACUUACACAAUCUCUCUAUACACGUUCAGUUCACCGACCCACCAUCUUCUCUUCUUCUUCUUCUUCUUCUUCUUCUUCUUCUUCCUCGUCAUUCUCAUGUCUCUGUUCUUCUUCCACUGACUGCGAGCCGAAACUUUCAGUAAAGAAACGCGUUUUCGGAAUGGGUUUAGGGUUAUUAGCUGCUUCGAUUCUCUCUCUAACACCUAUGGACGCAGACGCCACGAGGAUUGAGUACUACGCUACUGUUGGAGACCCUCUCUGCGAAUACAGCUACGCAAAAUCGGGACUUGGAUUCUGCGAUCUCGAUGUUGGGUUUGGUGAUGAAGCCCCUCGUGGUGUAAUGGUCAAUAUCCAUUACACAGCGAGGUUUGCUGAUGGGACGUUGUUUGAUAGUAGCUAUAAGCGUGCAAGACCACUUACUAUGCGAAUUGGGGUCGGCAAGGUUAUUAGGGGUCUAGACCAAGGGAUUCUUGGAGGGGAAGGAGUGCCACCUAUGCGAGUAGGUGGAAAGCGUAAACUUCAGAUUCCACCUCAGUUAGCUUAUGGACCAGAGCCUGCAGGAUGCUUUUCCGGUGACUGUAACAUACCUGGAAAUGCAACUUUGCUAUAUGAUAUCAACUUUGUUGAGAUCUACCCUGGAAGUAAUACAAGAUGAAGUCAAUCCCAACUUCUUUUGUUAAAGGCAAAAAAACACAACUUAUGUAUAUGAUGUAUAUCACCAGCUUGCUGUUGAAGAAGAACAACACAUCUCCUCUACACAAAUCUGUGUUUUUCUAUGUUGAGUUAUGACCUCGGAAGAUUAUGUACUUGUAUAAGCGUGUGUUAGGUUAGAUUCAGUAUAGGUAAGUGAUGCAGCUUGUGUCACUAAGAUGUACAGAGUCUUGGAAUAAAGUUGCGUAAUGUGAUUGUUCAUCGGUGUCAUAUCUUUGUAUUUUGGUCCCCUCACAACAACUCAUGAAUCUCAAGGCCAAAAAAAGUGUAAAACUUGGGUUCUUGCCUUGUCAAUAUGUAGAAAACACAUCAAACAAAUCUUCAUCUUGUA